GACGAACGCUGGCGGCGUGCUUAACACAUGCAAGUCGAGCGGAAAGGCCCUUCAGGGUUCUCGAGUGGCGAACCGGCGAGUAACACGGGAGUAACCUGCCCCAGACCUUGUGAUAACCCGCGGAAACGGGGGCUAAUACCGGAUACGACACUGCUUCGCAUAGGGACAGGGUGGAAAGUUUUUCGGUUUGGGAUGGGCUCGCGGCCUAUCAGCUUGUUGGUGUGGUUAUGGCGGACCAAGGAGACGACGGGAAGCCGGCCUGAGAGGGCGACCGGCCACACUGGGCCUGGGACGCGGCCCGGACUCCUUCGGGAGGCAGCGGUGGGAGAUAUUGCACACUGGGCGGAGGCCGGAUGCAGCGACGCCGCGUGGGGGAUGACGGCCUUUGGGUUGUAACCCUCUUUCGGCUGGGACGAAGAGUAAGUGACGGUACCUGCAGAAGAAGCGCCGGCCAACUACGUG
rnacentral:rRNA from 1 species